AAGGCAUGGUGAGAGCACUUUCUAAGUAUCUCCUUGAAUCUCUCUCAACUCUCAUAAAUAGAUUCUUUUUCUAACAGAGUAAAUGAAGAAAUAUCAAUUCUAAGCUU